CGUGUAGGCGGCCGAUCAAGUCGGGUGUGAAAGCCCUCGGCUCAACCGAGGAAUUGCACUCGAUACUGAUUGGCUAGAGUCCGGGAGGGGGUAGCGGAAUUCCCAGUGUAGCGGUGAAAUGCGUAGAUAUUGGGAAGAACACCAGUGGCGAAGGCGGCUACCUGGACCGGAACUGACGCUGAGGCGCGAAAGCUAGGGGAGCGAACAGGAUUAGAUACCCUGGUAGUC
rnacentral:rRNA from 1 species